AUCUGUUAGUCUUUAAGGUGCCACCGGACUCCUUGUUAUAUUUGAUUUAGGUACCUGGAUGGAGACCUGAGGCUGGAUUACUUUAAGGGAACUGUGGUGUUGUCUUCUGGGGAACCAGGGAAAUAUUAUAGAAGCUAUUUUAUGCUGGCUUGAUAAAUCUAAGUAUUGGAAUAUCCACCAGCUAACAAAAACCCCAUUUGUUUGAUAAGAGCUAUUUUCCAUGAAACCACAUUGACUAACAUUAAUAAUGCUGCCAUCCAUUAAUUCUUUAUGAUUGCAUCCCACAUCUGCCUUUUCAGGUUGCUCACCAAUCCUCUGGUUUUGUAGCUCUUUUUAGUGAGAUUAUAUGGUUUUGCAAGUAGCUCUGCUAGGCUCCUUCAGAACUCUCAGAUGUAACCAUCAGGGCGUGAUGAUUUCAAGUUUUUUAAAUUACCAGUUUAUUCCAGCACUAAUACUUCAUCUCAGUCUCUGCUACUGCUUCAUGCUUAUUACCAGAAAAAGCAGCCCUGGGGAAAGCAUCUUGCGAGCAUCCUCUGUGGUAUAGACUGAUGCAAAUAUUUCAUUUCUCAGAAACACCAUUCUCUUUCUUAAUUGCACUUUUAAACUUAGAUAUCCCAGAGACCCACCUAUUCUUUUGUAGGAGUUCUUUUUUGAUACACUUGAAUUUUUCACUGUUUACUCUUCAAAUCCAUCUUAGUCUCCUUAUCUCACUCUGACAUAUCGCUUGCUGUAAUUUGUGCUUCUGCUUAUUGGCUUCACUAGGGUCAGAUUUCCAGUUUUUGAAGGAUUUCUGUUUGGCUUAAAUCACCUCUUGAAACCAUUCUGCCUAAAUGGCAAGAUUCCUCCUGGCAUUGAUAUUGCCAACCGCUGCUGCUUAAGGUAUAACAGGUAGUCCAAAAUAAGGGGAAUUAAUGCUAGCUGCGGUUCGGUUCCCCUUUGCCAAGACCAGAUGGAAAAAUGCUUCCACUUUGCCAGGUACGUGGCAUGAGUGGAGGGUUUCCUACUUCCCAGCAGGACCUCCCUCACUGGAUCUGAACACUGAAGCUCAAGAGGGUUCAGCCAUUGAGUUUUCACACCAUGAGGUGGAGGGACUCCAGGUUGGGGUGUUGCAGACGGCUGUGGUCCUGUGUGAUGAGGGUCGGCACACAGGAAGUGCCACUGCUCUGUCCACUGAGAGGUUCAACAUCAUGGUGAACCAGUGCUGCUGGGGCCAUGCUGGCACUAUGAGGAUCAAGGAAGCUCCAUCCCAGCGAGUCUUAAGGAGGACUUUGUGUAUGAGAGAGAAGGGCAGAAAUGCAUACAGCAGGUGACCCAUCUAUGAAAGGUGAAAGGCUGUGGUUCAGGAAAGAGCAGAACCACCGACACUUCCUUUUGCUCCACGUUGCAAACAGGUCAAUGUGGGGAGAGCCCCACCUCUGGAAAAGCAAGACCAUGAUGUCUGGCCUGAGGGACCAUUCGUGACCGUGAAAUGAGCAGAUGAGGUGGUCAGCUAGCUCAUUUUGCACUCCCGGAAGGUGCAACGCCUCUAGAUGUAUCGAGCAGAUGAUGCAAAAAUCCCAAGUUUGAGGGCUUUCUGGCACAGGGGAGAGGAGCAAACACCACCCCGUUUAUAUAGAACAUCGCUGCAGUAUUGUCCAUCAGCACCGAUACGCAUGUGCCCUGCAAGUGGGCCUGGAAAGCUUGGCCUGCCAAACCACCCUCAGCUCCCUUACGUUGAUAUGCAGCGAUAGUUCUGUGUGGGACCAUAGGCCCUGGGUUCCGAUAUUGCCCAGGUGCGCCCUCCCAACCAAACGUCAAAGCGUCCAUGACCAAUGAUAGCGUAGGAUGCAGUAUGGCAAAGGGUAUUCCUGCACAAACCACUUGUGGCAGCAGCCACCAGCGGAGAGACUCGAGAGUGCAAGGUGGGAGGGUAACUAUUCUGUCCAGUGGGUCCCUGCCUGGCUUGAACCACCCACUUGAACCACGCCUGGAGGGGCCGAAGCCGUAACCUGGCAUGCUGGACCACGUAUGUGCAGGCUGCCAUAUGCCCCAAUAGUUCCAUGCAAUUUCUGGCCAUCGUUGUGGGAAACUGGUGAAGGUUUUCGAUAAUGUCCAUGAGUGCUUGGAAGCAUGGCUUGGGCAGGAACGCCCGGCUUGUGUGGACUCCAAGAGAGCCCCUAUGAAUUCUAUUCUCUGUGUCGGGACCAGUGUGGAUUUGGGCACAUUCAAUAUGAGGCCCAGCCUGUAGAAUGUGGCCCUGGCCAGGAACACAUGCUUUGCAGCCUGUACUUGGGACUCAGCCUUGAUGAGCCAGUUGUCUAGGUACAGGAACCCUUGCACCUGACGUUUGCAGAGGAAGGCUGCCAAGACUGCCAUACACUUGGUGAACACCCGGGGGGCCACCUGUAGUAGUAGGAUUUUAUCUUUGUAUGACUUAGAAUGAAGGAUAAUAAUGUAGUAUGCACUAAAUGUAUUGAUGUCUGGUAUGAUUUGAUUGUAUUCUGCUGGCCACCUGACUGGAUAGCAGGAAGGAAAGACCCUGGGUCAUUGGAAAAAACCACAUCAGACAGGCUGCCUGUUUCUGAACUGAUGUUAAGGCAGGAACAGAGCAGAACAGUCCUUAUUGCUGAUUAUGGUCACCUUUUGUUUUAGGAUAAGUUUUCAUGAUAAUAUUCGCUACAAGGUAUUGUUUCUUAUCUGCAUUGCAAACAAAGUUGUGCAAGAUUCUUUUGUAAACCCUUCAAUAACUAUAUAACCCUUUCUAAAAUGUAAUCCUGUCUGAAAUUCUCUGUAAACUUGUUUGGUGUGAGUAAAGGAUGUGUGCAUGGUUAAGGAGGAGUGUAAAAGCCAUCACAAAUGUCCAGAUGGUCAAGAAGAAGUGAGAGCCUUGGAGAGACAGCAGGAAACAAUCAGAAAACAUCCAUUGUAUCUGAUGCUAAACGAGUUAGCAACAUUGACAACCUCAGAGAAGAGGCAAACACCCCCGAAGGCGAAACAACAAAUAAGAGAUAACAGCGGAAAACCCCAAGAUUAACAACACUUAAGGAUUAACUAUUACAGAAUGACAUUGCAAAAUCCAUAGACUAAAGUGGGAAUUUACAAGCUGGGGUGUUUUGCCACAGAACUCUGGGUUUAGUACUGCAAAGCCUCAGAGCAUCGUAUUGGGACCAACAGAGCCCAGCUCCUCACUCGUGCUCAAUCUAACUGGCCAUUAGAUUGACACGAGCUACAACAGACAUCUGCAGGACAGGGUGUGUGUGUGUGUGUGUGUGUGUGAGAGAGAGUGUGAGUGAGUGUGUGAGAGAGAGAUUGAAUGCAUAUGCUAACUGUUGUAUUUUCAAUAAACACAGCGUAUUGCCUUUUCCCCUGAAAAAGAUCCCAUGUGCUUCUUAUAAGUGUAACAUUUUUUGGUAGAGAAUUGCGAAAGGGGGAAGAUAUGCACUGUGAUUGUUGAAAAUGCUGUUAAAUAUUGCUAAAAGGUAUACCAUAUGUAUAAAGUGAUUGAUCAUUCAGGCGUGCACACCCCUGGCCAUAGAAGUGCUGGGCAAUAGGGGGAGGGUUAGAGUCCUCGCUCAGAUCCAUCUGUUGGGAAAAAAUUGCAUAGGUGAAUAUACCCUUGGUCAUAGCAGAAUCAAGCCCAAAGGGGGGGGCUUAGAGUUUUUCCCUCCUGCUCUGUCAGACAGUUAUUUUUAGUGGGUAUAAACUUUUGUGUUGUGUAAGUCCCAACAUGCAUGUGGGCACGGAAGAGUUAUAAAGGUAAAAGAGAUUAAUAAAGAAAUAUAUUCAGGCAGUAUUUUCUAUGCGAGACCCAACUCUGAAGGACAUAGGAGUGUAGGCAAAUAGUGGUAGCACCUGUGUAAGAAAUGUUUAAAAGGAAGCAAUCCAAAGACGAUACUUUGUUCAACAGAUUUCACCAUUCCAAGUAUUUAAAACAGAUCUUGCUCUGUUAAACCAAACUCUGAAGGAUAUAGGAGUUUGGGCAGUGUAGUAUUUUUUGUGAGUGAUACUGUGGUGAUUUCACAAUUUUGAAAGAAAUGUUUAAGGAAAGGGACCAGGAGGGGUGGCGGCUAGUUGAGAAGCCCAUCCUCCUUGCUAAAUUGGUAGUGGAGCAAAGCCUGUGUUCAUGAAAAGGGACGGUUCAGC